rnacentral:rRNA from 1 species
CCUACGGGAGGCUGCAGUGAGGAAUAUUGGUCAAUGGACGAAAGUCUGAACCAGCCAAGUAGCGUGCAGGAUGACUGCCCUAUGGGUUGUAAACUUCUUUUAUGUGGGAAUAAAAUGUUCCACGUGUGAGAUUUUGUAUGUACCAUAUGAAUAAGGAUCGGCUAACUCCGUGCCAGCAGCCGCGGUAAUACGGAGGAUCCGAGCGUUAUCCGGAUUUAUUGGGUUUAAAGGGAGCGUAGGGCGCUUGUUAAGUCAGUUGUGAAAUGUGGCGGCUCAACCGUAAAAUUGCGGUUGAAACUGGCAGUCUUGAGUACAGGAGAGGUGGGCGGAAUUCGUGGUGUAGCGGUGAAAUGCUUAGAUAUCACGAAGAACUCCGAUUGCGAAGGCAGCUCACGGGACUGCAACUGACACUGAGGCUCGAAAGUGUGGGUAUCAAACAGGAUUAGAUACCCGAGUAGUC